rnacentral:rRNA from 1 species
UGGGGAAUUUUGGACAAUGGGCGCAAGCCUGAUCCAGCCAUGCCGCGUGCGGGAAGAAGGCCUUCGGGUUGUAAACCGCUUUUGUCAGGGAAGAAAUCUUCUGAGUUAAUACCUCGGGAGGAUGACGGUACCUGAAGAAUAAGCACCGGCUAACUACGUGCCAGCAGCCGCGGUAAUACGUAGGGUGCAAGCGUUAAUCGGAAUUACUGGGCGUAAAGCGUGCGCAGGCGGUUUUGUAAGACAGAGGUGAAAUCCCCGGGCUCAACCUGGGAACUGCCUUUGUGACUGCAAGGCUUGAGUGCGGCAGAGGGGGAUGGAAUUCCGCGUGUAGCAGUGAAAUGCGUAGAUAUGCGGAGGAACACCGAUGGCGAAGGCAAUCCCCUGGGCCUGCACUGACGCUCAUGCACGAAAGCGUGGGGAGCAAACAGGAUUAGAUAGCCCUGGUAGUCCACGCCCUAAACGAUGUCAACUGGUUGUUGGGAAGGUUCCUUCUCAGUAACGUAGCUAACGCGUGAAGUUGACCGCUGGGGAGUACGGCCGCAAGGUUGAAACUCAAAGGAAUUGACGGGGU